CGGGUUCUGCCCUUCACGUGAACGGGCACAUUCCGGUGGCCUUAAGCAAAUCCGAGGGAGCUGGCUCUGGCGUUGCCGUGGCUUCGUUACCUGGCGCCCACCUGUAUAUACAGGUCCUCGGGAAUGCACUGCUCACACGGUUGAGGUGGUUCCCGU
rnacentral:misc_RNA from 1 species